GCCUCUGGAGAAUCCCAAUCAUUUGGGUGCCGAAGGGGCAAGCGUCGCGAAACCCAUGAUCGCGCGGCGUGAAACUCUCAGGCAAAAGGACAGAGCA
rnacentral:ncRNA from 1 species